ensembl:lncRNA
CAGGCCCUGGUCAUGGUGUCACAGUGAGAGAAGACACACUGACCAGAACAUGAAGGGAGGUCCUCCUCCACCUGCUUGGCUCACCCUCCAGACCCAGGCAGCAAGCACGCAGAAGGCUACCAUCCACCCAGGGUGAGGAAGAAGGGAUGUGCACAUAGGGUCUGCACUGGCCUCAAAUGCCACACCGGGCACGAAGCAGACUCAUGGCCCUUGACACCACCAUACCUGUGGACCAGGUCAGAAGACCCACACCAAUGCCAGACAACACAAUCAUCUACAUAGAAAAUCCUAAGUAAUCUACCGAAAAAUCCAAAAGCCAAGAAGAGACUUCAGGAAGGCUGCAAAAUGAACAUACACAUUAGUCAAUAUUUUGUAUACUGGCAACACAUCCGUGAAAGCAAAAUUAAAAGUAUAGUAUCAUUUGCCAUCACUCAAAAUUAAUACAUAGGUAUAAAAUAACUAAGCAUGCACAGGAUUUGCAUGUUGGAAACUACACAAUGCUAAUGAAAGAAAUAAAAAAUAAG